AGCAGUGGGGAAUAUUGGACAAUGGGCGAAAGCCUGAUCCAGCCAUGCCGCGUGUGUGAAGAAGGUCUUCGGAUUGUAAAGCACUUUAAGUUGGGAGGAAGGGCAGUAAAUUAAUACUUUGCUGUUUUGACGUUACCGACAGAAUAAGCACCGGCUAACUCUGUGCCAGCAGCCGCGGUAAUACAGAGGGUGCGAGCGUUAAUCGGAAUUACUGGGCGUAAAGCGCGCGUAGGUGGUUCGUUAAGUUGGAUGUGAAAUCCCCGGGCUCAACCUGGGAACUGCAUUCAAAACUGACGAGCUAGAGUAUGGUAGAGGGUGGUGGAAUUUCCUGUGUAGCGGUGAAAUGCGUAGAUAUAGGAAGGAACACCAGUGGCGAAGGCGACCACCUGGACUGAUACUGACACUGAGG
rnacentral:rRNA from 1 species